rnacentral:rRNA from 1 species
UGGAAAACGAUGUGGAGUUGCGAAAACAACCAGGAUGUUGGCUUAGAAGCAGCCAUUCAUUAAAAGAGUUCGUAAUAGAUCACUGGUCGAGUGACUCUGCGCGGAAAAUAUAACGGGGCUAAGUAUGCAACCGAAGCUUAGGAUGUCCGCAAGGGCGUGGUAGGGGAGCGUCGUGUACGGGGUGAAGUCGCAGCGGAAGCAGCGGUGGACUGUACAGGAGUGAGAAUGCCGGAAUGAGUAGCGAGAAUUAUGUGGGAAUCAUAAUGGCCGAAAAUCUAAGGUUUCUUGGGGAAGGUUCGUCCGCCCAAGGUAAGUCGGGAGCUAAGGCGAGGCCGAGAGGCGUAGUCGAUGCACAUACGGUAGAAAUUCCGUAACCACCGAAACUUAAGUUAGAGGGACACUUCGAGAUAGCGGAACCGCGGCGUUGGUAGACCGCGGCGAAAGGGACUGAAAUAUAGUAGGGAAGUCCGCGAUGCUCGGAGGCGAGAAAAGCUCUAAGGUAUGCUAAGGUGCCCGUACCGCAAACCGACACAGGUAGAUGAGGAGAGAAUCCUAAGGCCAACGGGAGAAGGGUUGUUAAGGAACUCGGCAAAUUGACCCCGUAACUUCGGAAGAAGGGGAGCCUCGAAAGAGGCCGCAGUGAAUAGGCCCAAGCAACUGUUUACCAAAAACACAGGUCUAUGCUAAAUCGAAAGAUGACGUAUAUGGGCUGACGCCUGCCCGGUGCCGGAAGGUUAAGAGGAGAGCUUAGCGCAAGCGAAGGUUUGAAUUGAAGCCCCGGUAAACGGCGGCCGUAACUAUAACGGUCCUAAGGUAGCGAAAUUCCUUGUCAGGUAAGUUCUGACCCGCACGAAUGGCGUAAUGAUUUGGGCACUGUCUCGACAGCCCGCCCGGCGAAAUUGUAGUACUGGUGAAGAUGCCAGUUACCCGCAACUAGACGGAAAGACCCCAUGGAGCUUUACUGCAGCUUAAUACUGGAAAUCGGUAAUUCAUGUACAGGAUAGGUGGGAGACGGAGAAGCAUGGUCGUCAGGUCAUGUGGAGUCGCCCUUGGGAUACCACUCUUGGAUUGCUGGUUUUCUAACCUGCGGCCGUGAAUCCGGUCGGGGGACACUGUUAGGCGGGCAGUUUGACUGGGGCGGUCGCCUCCAAAAGAGUAACGGAGGCGCUCAAAGGUUCGUUCAGCACGGACGGAAAUCGUGCAUUGAGUGUAAACGCAUAAACGAGCCUAACUGCGAGACCGACGGGUCGAGCAGUAACGAAAGUUGGAGUUAGUGAUCCGGUGGUAUGUGAGUGG